rnacentral:sRNA from 26 species
GUCAACCGUGACCCCUCACUAAAGUAAGGGGCUUGAAGUGCUUACUUCAAGUCUGGUUGUCUAGACUCAGUGUCGUUUGGACACUACGUUAUCUUGGUGAUCACACCUGGAGAUGAUACCCUAGUUCCCAGCUCUGUG